ensembl:snRNA U6 U6 spliceosomal RNA
GGUAUACUCACUUUGGCAGGCCUUAUACUAAAAUUAAAAUGAUACUGAGAAGAUUAUCAUGGCACUGUGCAAGGAUGACACCCAAAUUCAUGAAGAGUUCCAUACUUUU